rnacentral:tRNA from 1 species
GACCGCGUAGCUCAGUUGGCAGAGCAUUGGGCUAGUAUUCCAAAGGUGGUAGGUUCGAUUCCCACCGUGGCCG